rnacentral:rRNA from 1 species
UACGGGGGGGGGCAAGCGUUGUUCGGAAUUACUGGGCGUAAAGCGCGCGUAGGCGGCUUUGCAAGUCGAUUGUGAAAUCCCCAGGCUUAACCUGGGGAACUGCAUUCGAGACUGCAUAGCUAGAGUAUGGGAGAGGGAAGUGGAAUUUCAGGUGUAGCGGUGAAAUGCGUAGAUAGUCUGAAGGAACAUCAGUGGCGAAAAGCGACUUCCUGGACCAAUACUGACGCUCAUGUGCGAAAGCGUGGGGAGCAAACAGG